GACGAACGCUGGCGGCGUGCUUAACACAUGCAAGUCGAACGCUGAAGCUCAGCUUUUGUUGGGUGGAUGAGUGGCAAACGGGUGAGUAACACGUGAGUAACCUGCCCCCUUCUUUGGGAUAACGCCCGGAAACGGGUGCUAAUACUGGAUAUUCACUGGUCUUCGCAUGGGGGUUGGUGGAAAGGGUUUUUCUGGUGGGGGAUGGGCUCGCGGCCUAUCAGCUUGUUGGUGGGGUGAUGGCCUACCAAGGCUUUGACGGGUAGCCGGCCUGAGAGGGUGACCGGUCACAUUGGGACUGAGAUACGGCCCAGACUCCUACGGGAGGCAGCAGUGGGGAAUAUUGCACAAUGGGCGCAAGCCUGAUGCAGCGACGCCGCGUGAGGGAUGGAGGCCUUCGGGUUGUGAACCUCUUUCGCUCAUGGUCAAGCCGCAACAAUGGUUGUGGUGAGGGUAGUGGGUAAAGAAGCGCCGGCUAACUACGUG
rnacentral:rRNA from 1 species